UGAUAUUAAUUGACAUAAACAUGGGAGGGUGACUUUUGUAUUUUAUUUUCGAGUAAAUUAGAGUUCAAGUUCUUUUUGAUCAGUUUGAGAUUGUAUCUGACGCCCUUUGGCUGGUUUUACGUCAACCAGUACGCAUUUUGAACGACAACUCCGUGCUUUACCGAUUACUAUCUUGACAUACUACGAUCUUCUUUGGUUCGACGUAUACUGGGCGUGGAUCCGCGUUACGUCAUAAAAUCUACACAUGAAAAUAGAUGUAAAAACGCAGGCGAAGCUAUUUGCCUGGGUCCUGGCCUUCGAAUCCACCCACUCCAUCGAGUUGACUGUUGACAAUCCUGUCUGCUAUCAGGCUACAAAGCUAAGCCAACAAGCUAUUAAAAAGAUCAGAUACCUGUUUUUAUAGUGUAUUGUAUUAUAUUUUUUGCUAGUACUUUCUCCUGUGUGCACUGACGUAAAGGCGAGCUGCUGUAACAAAGAGUUUCAUUUCGGGGAUCAAUAAAGUAUUUCUGACUCUGAUUCUGAGAUGAAUGAGAAAGACCUCAUCAGCCCUAGUCCUGUCACAGGGACUGUGGUUGGGGCAUAGACAUCUGCUGUCUGAAAAUAACUUCAAAGGUGCCUGUAAUUGGUGUGUCAAAUGUAACAGGAUAAAUACAUAUGAAAUAUUGUUUGAGAAAUAAAGGCUAUAAUGUGAGAAACAGAUAUUGCUCUGCAUAUUUGCAAUGUGACAUUUCUCACAUUACAUAGCACAUUUGCACAGAGGCAAACGUGAUGCGGGGUGACUCCCUUUCAUUGAGAAGAAAGCAACACGACUCAUUUCCCUAUAAAAUGACUGAAUAAGUGUCCAGCCAUUUUAUGGGAACUGACUGAAGAUAAUGAGAGCUCUUGCUCAAUGCAUGCUGGAUAGAGUCGAGCCUCCGCAACUCUACACAGGACAAGCAGCACAUUGUCUUGGAAAUGAAACAGUGAGGCUAAAGCUCUGAUUUUCAGCUUUAAUUUGGAAUUUACAUCCAUGGAUGAGCAGUGGAUGCUCUGUAGCCCUGUCGUUCUGCUCUUGCUCUGUCAGAAAAUGUGGGGACUAUGUAUGAAAAGGGUUCCUACACAGACUGUCAACAAUAUGGACAUAAACACCCUCAAAGGUGAAAGUCAGCACUUUAAACUCAGUAAUUGUUUAAUUUGGAAUCAAAUGCACUUGAGUACAGAGCCAAAACAAUGAAAAUGUAAUUUUCCAAAUAUUUACUCUUACGGCAAGGUACCUCAAAAAUGACCAAACAAAAUUAUUUUCACAAGAACCUGUGUGUAUGUGUUGAAAUCACUGGAUUAAGUUUUUUUAAACAGGCUCUAAAACCCAGGAUGUAAUCAAAGAAUAGACUCCCCCUAUUUUGAGGACCAGAUGGUACAUCCUCCUCUCCCUCUCUCAUUCUCCUCCCUCCUGCUUUCAGUGUCCUCCAUCUCUCCGCUUUCUCUCAUUUUCUUAUAUUAAGGACAUUCUCACUUCCAGAGGCUGCUGCAGUUCCUUCUUCAUCUGUUAUCCUUGUAAUCUCUACAGAGCUGUUGGAGAGUGAAGCAGCACAGAGCUGACCUUAUAAAGACUUCUCCUGACCAGACCACACCUCUGUCCCCGAGUCCAUGGAAGCCAAGGCCAAGUCCGGGGCUCCAGCACCCAAGGCGGCAUCUAAAGCAGAGAAGAAGGAGCCGGCAGCCCCACGCAAGGCUGACCCUGCCCCUGUGGCCCCUGAGCCUGAGCAUCCUCCUCCCCAGGAUGGGGCAGCAGAAGCUGAAGCAGCAGCGGCAGGUGAAGAGGCUGUGGCCUCCGGCACAGACUCUCUGGAACACCUGAAACCCUUUCUCAUCGGUGGUGCCGUUAUUGCUGCAGGAGCCAUCUUGCUGGGAGUGUUGCUACUGGCAAGGAGAAAUUAAAACCAAAUCAUUAUCUCAAAUUAAAGUAUUUACUGGUUGAUAACUUAGAGCGUCAUUGCUGAGUGGUUCACAGACUAUGAUGGUACACAUGGGGGACGGGGAGCCACUGUGCAUCUUAUCUUUGUUUAUUUGGCCUGCUUCCACUUGUAGUGAAUCAAACCAUUCACGUUUUGAUCAAGGCUGUAUAUGGAGCAUAAUUACACAUAGUAUAUGCAUGAAGUUGCUUCAGUACUGCAUCUCAACUGUAAUAAUCUAUUUCUUAAAAAAAAACCUCACACUGUAGUACUGAGUCUAAACCUUUAAAGGUAGCUUAUUCAACUGCUUUAUCUUGUUUAAUCCAGUUUGCACAAAUAUUGACAUAAGCUUGCAAUAUUUGUACAUUCUUGCACUGGAAAUGAGCUUGGUUCACUUUGCUAAAAAAAUAAUGAAAAGCUGUAUUCAUAAUGUUGAAACUUAUAGAUAUUAAUACUUGCUAUCAGUACUUUACUUUUAAAUAAUACAAUUGAAAGAGUUGGCCUGAAGACAGCUGGGGAUAUGCAUUUUAUGCACAUAUUUUGGCUAGAUCAAUGCCUAAGUGAAGGGAUUCAGUUUCUCUUUCUUCAGAGUACAGGGAGAGAGACACUGAAUCCCUGCAUAUCCAAAAAAGCACAGUGCAAUUUAAAAAAAAAAAAAAUCUACUUUUUCAGAGACAGAAAAUAUAAGCAUGCAAUGGUUUAGGAAUGGGAUGUAGGGGAUUGCUGGAGAAUAUGUACAGUAUGUGGCAGAGAAUAAUAGUGAAGUUACUUCUCGCUGUAGAAUAAGAGUUUUAUUUUACUGUCAAAUGAUGUCACAAAUCAAUAACCUUUCAUGUCUUACACAACAGCCACAGUUGCGCUGGUUCAAUCUGUUUACAUCUUACAGUAGAUGUAGCUGUAGCAGGCUGAACAGCCAUUAGUGUUGCAGUAUCAGGUUUAAGUCUUGUUAUCUAAACCUCAUUAAUAACUAAGUACAACUAUAAUGUAAUGAGAUCAUCCUAGGUUGGGGCGUAGAACUAUUGUUGUAUAGUUUACUCAGAGGAAAAAAAAAGUCAACUAGUCACAAUUUCGUUGUUGCACACAUUCAUCUGUACAGCUGUACACAAUAUUGUCCACUCACAUGUAGAGCUCAUGGCGAUGUCGAAGUAGACACACACCAUUACUUGAUUUUAGUUUUAAGGAUACGUAUGAGUUUUACAACACAUUACUGGCCAAAAAUAUUGUACAAACAUACUACAUUCAACACCCCAAACACAUCCAAAAAAAUAUAGUAUGCCAAUACCAAAACAAACUUCACCUUACAUUGUACAAUACAGUGUACCAAAAAAAGAAAAAUCCUAUUUUCAUAAUUUCAACAGCGUAUAAAUGCAAUAAUUCAGAUAGGACUCCUCAUUUAGCACAUGUGCUGUAGCAAGUUAAAUUACAUAAAUGAUGAUGUAAUAAUAUUGUUGAUGUUAGUGAUGGCGAUGUUACAGAUGAUGAUGAUGGUAAGGAUGAUGCUUUUCAUGGUGACUGUAAAGAUGAUAAUGAUGGUUAUGAUAUAUUUUUUAUAUAUUUCUAACAUAUUUUCCUUAUGCACACUCCCCUCUGCCCCCACACUCCUAAAUGUAAAAAAGAAAGAGGUUGUAAUCUAACCUUUAUUAAAAGGCAGUGAACCAGC